rfam:Felis catus breed Abyssinian Contig243645.1, whole genome shotgun sequence. [26-MAY-2016]
GCCUGGCUGGCUCAGUAGGUAGAGCGCGCGACUCUUGAUCUCAGGGUCGUGAGUUCGAGCCCCAUGUUGGGCG